UAAGUAGUCAAGACCUAAACCACCCCUUUUUAUUCACAAUCUUUGGGGUAGCUUUUCUUGCCCAGAAACCCCAGGCGGUGAACACCAAAAGACAGUAGAAAAUCUCUGUAAGAAAAACUUAACCAUUGAGAACCAACACCUGGAAACUCAUUGCCUUAACGAUCUGGCAGAUGUAACAGCUACUCCAGAAACUGAGGGGGAGAGGAGAACACCGGCAACUGGAAGUGGUUGUGGAAUGAGGGGAUCAGAUAGAAGAGGGAGGAGAGCUGUGCACCUGUCAGUUCCCAUCUCUUUGUCUGGCACAGCUGCACAUUUCCUUACAUGAACCAGUGGGGGUGCCUGAAUAAGAGGACUUACAUCAGCUUCAGUGUGACAUGUCUUACCGAGUGCGCAGGUGCCGCCAGGGAAGCUGUGAUCCUCACACAAGCCCAGG